GACGAACGCUGGCGGCGUGCUUAACACAUGCAAGUCGAACGGAAAGGCCCUGCUUUUGUGGGGUGCUCGAGUGGCGAACGGGUGAGUAACACGUGAGUAUCCUGCCCUUGACUUUGGGAUAACUUCAGGAAACUGGGGCUAAUACCGGAUAGGAGCUCCUGCUGCAUGGUGGGGGUUGGAAAGUUUCGGCGGUUGGGGAUGGACUCGCGGCUUAUCAGCUUGUUGGUGGGGUAGUGGCUUACCAAGGCUUUGACGGGUAGCCGGGCUGAGAGGGUGACCGGCCAAAUUGGGAAUGAGAUACGGCCCAGACUCCUACGGGAGGCAGCAGUGGGGAAUAGUGCACAAUGGGCGGAAGCCUGAUGCAGCAACGCCGCGUGCGGGAUGACGGCCUUCGGGUUGUAAACCGCUUUCGCCUGUGACGAAGCGUGAGUGACGGUAAUGGGUAAAGAAGCACCGGCUAACUACGUG
rnacentral:rRNA from 1 species